rnacentral:lncRNA from 1 species
AUGUUUUUUAAACCACAGAUGACUUUUGACAGUGGCAAAGCCAGAGCGGGUCCGGAGCGCGACGGCGGUGCGGGUCGGCGUGCCGGGCAGCGGCUGUGGCGCUGGGAUCCUGCUCGAGCCGGGCCUGCGGCUGCAGAGUUUAUUUUUGUAUUCUGCGUGAGCCGGGACUCGCGGCGGGAGCCGUGCGCCGCCGGCUCGGACUCGCGCUUUGGUUUAAUUGCAUCUCCCCCUCAUCUCCUUCCUCCUCCUCCUCCUCCUCACCCAGCCUCCGCGAGAGGCGAGUCCCCCUCUCUGCCCGGGCUCCCCGCGUUUUGCAGGGCCAAGUUUUCCCUCCUCCUCCCUUUCAGCAGGUGCCAGGCCGGGGCAGCGGGAGCCCGGCUGCCCCCGGAGGUGCUGGGGCGUGCGCGCGUGAGCCCCCCUUCCCCGCUGUGCCGGGGGUCUCCCUCUUCCUUCCCGGGGGCUGAGCCGCGCUUCCCGCGGAGGCUGGCCGGGAAGGCAGAGCGGACACCCCACGGCCGAAAGCUGGUGUUGGGCCGCCCGGGGGGGGCCAGGCCUCGCUCGCCUUCCUGGCACCUCGCGGAGGCGAGUGGCUCCAGGGCGCUGCCCCAGCCCCGGAGCGGGGAGCCUCCGGCCCCGCCGGCCUGGUGGGAGAUGGCAGGGAGCAGGGAAGGCAGAUGGAGAUGGGGACGACUGCCGAGGGCGCUGGCGCAGCUCCUUCCCCCGGCAGCUGGGAGCUCGGACCCGGGCGACGGCAGCUCUUCCCUGCUCCUUUCCCUGGGCCGCGUCUCCCUUCUCGGAGCUUUUCCAAAGCCUGUUCCUAAGUUGGGGUUUGUUUCCUUGUCCUCGAGGCUGAAGUUGAGCCUCAGCUCCCCAGGGCAGGGUUUGCCGUCGGCUCCUGGCCGUGUCGUGCCUGGUUUUCCCACCGUAGCUCAGGAGAAGGGGCAGGAUCGGGGGGGGCAGCAGUGCAGCGGGACCUGCCGGCGCCAGCCCUGCGUCUGCUGGCUCCCACUGCCGUGGGCUCGCCUGCCGGGCGCUGCCGAGCGUGGGGUGAGGCUGCGGGAGGGCCGUGUCCCUUCCCUGCACCCCGGGGGACACCGGCGGGGGGCACGGAGCAGGGGGGUGGCGCAGGGAUGCGCAUGUCGGAGGCCUCUCGCCCUUCGCCCGGCCCAGGCUCCCAGGCCCCGGCACGGCCCCCGCCGGGGGGGAGCAGGCUUUGGCCCUGGCCCUGGCCCGUCCCCUCCGUCACUUCUCCCUCUACGUGCGCGCUGCUGUGGCUGGCUUCGUGGUUUAACUCCCCGUCACGGAACUCGGACUUUACUGCAUAGCAACGUAUCAUCGCACCAAUAA